UACGUAGGGGGCAAGCGUUGUCCGGAUUUAUUGGGCGUAAAGAGCGUGUAGGCGGCCAGACAGGUCCACUGUGAAAACUCGAGGCUCAACCUCGAGAGGUCGGUGGAAACCGUCUGGCUAGAGUCCGGAAGAGGAGAAUGGAAUUCCCGGUGUAGCGGUGAAAUGCGCAGAUAUCGGGAAGAACACCCGUGGCGAAGGCGGUUCUCUGGGACGGUACUGACGCUGAGACGCGAAAGCGUGGGGAGCGAACAGG
rnacentral:rRNA from 1 species